GGGGCUAGCGUUGCUCGGAAUCACUGGGCGUAAAGGGCGCGUACGGGCGUUUAAGUCGGGGGUGAAAGCCUGUGGCUCAACCACAAAAUGGCCUUCGAUACUGGGACGCCUGAAUUAUGAUAGAGGUUGGUGGAACUGCGAGUUGUAGAGGUGAAAUUCGUAUAUAUUCGCAAGAACACCGGUGGCGAAGGCGGCCAACUGGACCAUUACUGACGCUGAGGCGCGAAAGCUUGGGGAGCAACCCGGAUUUAAUUUCCCUGUGUUUCUCACGCGGUAUACGAUAAGUGUGCCAUGUGUUGGUGUGCUUGCACCGUAGUAGCGCAGCUAACGCUUUGAUCAUUCCGCCUGAGGAGUACGGUCGCAAGAUUAUAACUCGAAAGGAAUUGACGGGGGCCCGCACAAGCGGUGUAUCAUGUGGUUUAAUUCGAAGCAACGCGCAGAACCUUACCAUCCUUUGACAUGGCGUGUUACCCAGAGAGAUUUGGGGUCCACUUCGGUGGCGCGCACACAGGUGCUGCAUGGCUGUCGGUCAGCUCGUGUCGUGAGAUGUNGGGUUAAGUCCCGCAACGAGCGCAACCCACGUCCUU
rnacentral:rRNA from 1 species